AGCCAAUCAGGCGGAACAGAGAGAGUGAUCCUGCUACAAUCUACUCCAGAGUGAGAACCGAAGACGUCUGUUAUGGACAAAUAGUGAUCAAAGACAAGAAGACAAACAGGAAGAGAGAGAGUGAUCGUACUGCAAUCUACUCCGGAGUGAGAACAACAGACGUCAGUUACGGACAAAUAGCGAUCAAAGACAAGAAGACAAGAAGGAAGAGAGAGCCUCCAGCAGAUCCAGAGGUCCUCUACUCCUCACUGAGGAAGACCUGAACACCAUCACACCAGUCCAACCAGUGGAGUCCAGCUGGCCAAUCACUGGUCCCCAGAGACCCUCACAUCUACAUCUGUAUAGCCCCGGUGUAUUUGUCGGAGAUUUUAAACCUUUGAAAGCACAAAAAGGUCAGUCCGUUCAUCCAAUCAAAUGGCUUUAGAAGUCGCAAGGUAGAGGUACAAACUGUGGGGGGGGGGGGGAAAUCACUCUUUUGCAGUUGCUGACUCGAGACUUUGGAACAAGUUAACACCUGACAUUCAGACGAUUACAGACGUUCUUUUGAAAUCCAAACUUAAAACUUCUUUAUUUAGAAUGGCUUUUAAUGCACAGUAGCCUUGCGGCAUUAUCUCUUUAUUUCUCCUGUUUCUAUGCAACGGUUUCAGAUUGUACUGUAUUCUAUGUUUUACUCUUUUUAUUGUACGGUAUGUUGUUUUAUUUUUGGUCCUUCGAGCACUUUGGAUACCUGUUGGUUGCUGUAAAGCACUUUAUGAAUAAAUGUUGAAGAACAACUCAUAUUUUAAGCAUGUUUGCAUUCUUUAGAUGUGUUUUGUUCAAACAAAUGCUUUUUAUUUAAGUCAUAGAUUUGUUCCUCUGUAAGCGUUCAUUACGUUGCACAACAACCAACAAAUAUCUACUGAACAGAGUCUAAUUAUAACAA